rnacentral:rRNA from 1 species
GCGCGCUCGCGUGUGCUGUGUGGGCUAAACCCCGGGCGCGGAACGCGCCACGGAAAACCGAAACGAAGCGCCCUCCCCCCUCCCGUGCCCCGUCCGCGGUGCGCUCGGGCGGGGGGAAGGUCGCGCCUCACGUAUGUCAAAACGACUCUCGGCAACGGAUAUCUCGGCUCUCGCAUCGAUGAAGAACGUAGCAAAAUGCGAUACUUGGUGUGAAUUGCAGAAUCCCGUGAACCAUCGAGUCUUUGAACGCAAGUUGCGCCCGAAGCCUUCGGGCCGAGGGCACGCCUGCCUGGGCGUCACGCAUCGCGUCGCCCCCCUCCCCCGCUCCCACGGAGCGGGCUGGACGGGGGCGGAGACUGGCCUCCCGUGCGCCCCCGUCGCGCGGCCGGCCCAAAUGCGAUCCCCCGGCGACGCCAGUCGCGACCAGUGGUGGUUGAAUCUCAACUCGCGUGCUGUCAGUCGUGCGGAAUGGCGUCGUCCGGCCGGGCAUCACAAACGACCCAAUCGGCGCCUCGGCGCUUUCGACCGCGACCCCAGGUCAGGCGGGAUUACCCG